rnacentral:ncRNA from 1 species
AUGACUUGCUAGGGGUGCUUUAUUGAGCUGAAAGAGGUCUUGGCCUCAACCCUUUGUACCUGAUCUAGAUAAUACUAGCGUAGGGAAGCAAACGACGACCGAC